CCCUAGAGGUAAUCAUAGAGAUGAUGAUAUUCCAUUUGUAUCCAUGAUUUAUAUUGUGUUCCUUGAAUAUCCAUUAAAGGCUACUUGAAUUGAUUUGCAAUUAUGUGAAUUGUGUGUGAAACUCUUUACUUGUAUGGUUAUUCUAAAGUUAUCCCUAGUCGGAGUUCAUGUGAGGACACACAUGAAUAUUAGACUAGCACAUGUAUUAGUUGAUGACUAUGUUUCACAAGUCAUGGACAUGGAGAU
rnacentral:lncRNA from 1 species